ensembl:snRNA U2 U2 spliceosomal RNA
AAAAUUGACUCCUUUUGGCUAAGAUGAAGUGUAGUAUCUGUUCUUAUCAGUUUAAUAUCUGAUAGGCCUCUAUCCAAGGACAAUAUAUUAAAUGGAUUUUUGGAGUUAGGAGUUGGAAUAGGAGUUCCUCUGUUCACUCCACGCAUCAACCAGGUAUUACAGUACCUCCAGGAAUGGUGCAUGUGCG